rnacentral:rRNA from 1 species
AGUGAACGCUGGCGGUAGGCCUAACACAUGCAAGUCGAACGGCAGCACAGUAAGAGCUUGCUCUUACGGGUGGCGAGUGGCGGACGGGUGAGGAAUACAUCGGAAUCUACUUUUUCGUGGGGGAUAACGUAGGGAAACUUACGCUAAUACCGCAUACGACCUACGGGUGAAAGCAGUGGAUCUUCGGACCUUGCGCGAUUGAAUGAGCCGAUGUCGGAUUAGCUAGUUGGCGGGGUAAAGGCCCACCAAGGCGACGAUCCGUAGCUGGUCUGAGAGGAUGAUCAGCCACACUGGAACUGAGACACGGUCCAGACUCCUACGGGAGGCAGCAGUGGGGAAUAUUGGACAAUGGGCGCAAGCCUGAUCCAGCCAUACCGCGUGGGUGAAGAAGGCCUUCGGGUUGUAAAGCCCUUUUGUUGGGAAAGAAAAGCAGCAGGUUAAUACCCCGCUGUUCUGACGGUACCCAAAGAAUAAGCAUCGGCUAACUUCGUG